rnacentral:rRNA from 1 species
UACGUAGGUGGCAAGCGUUAUCCGGAUUUACUGGGCGUAAAGGGAACGUAGGCGGUCUUUUAAGUCUGAUGUGAAAGCCUUCGGCUUAACCGGAGUAGUGCAUUGGAAACUGGGAGACUUGAGUGCAGAAGAGGAGAGUGGAACUCCAUGUGUAGCGGUGAAAUGCGUAGAUAUAUGGAAGAACACCAGUGGCGAAAGCGGCUCUCUGGUCUGUAACUGACGCUGAGGUUCGAAAGCGUGGGUAGCAAACAGG